CCUACGGGCGGCAGCAGUGAGGAAUAUUGGUCAAUGGGCGCAAGCCUGAACCAGCCAAGUCGCGUGAGGGAUGACGGUCCUAUGGAUUGUAAACCUCUUUUGUCGGGGAGCAAGGCCCGCCACGUGUGGAGGGAAGGAGAGUACCAGAAGAAAAAGCAUCGGCUAACUCCGUGACAGCAGCCGCGGUAAUACGGAGGAUGCGAGCGUUAUCCGGAUUUAUUGGGUUUAAAGGGUGCGUAGGCGGAAUGCCAAGUCAGCGGUAAAAUCGCGGGGCUCAACCUCGCUCCGCCGUUGAAACUGGCGUUCUUGAGUGGGCGAGAAGUAUGCGGAAUGCGUGGUGUAGCGGUUAAAUGCAUAGAUAUCACGCAGAACUCCGAUUGCGAAGGCAGCAUACCGGCGCCCAACUGACGCUGAAGCACGAAAGCGUGGGUAUCGAACAGGAUUAGAUACCCUUGUAGUC
rnacentral:rRNA from 1 species